AGUCUUAUAGUCAAAUAUGAUUUUAAAUUGCAAGUUUAAAGGUAAACUAGGUUUUAAGGCUU
rnacentral:tRNA from 1 species